rnacentral:rRNA from 1 species
AUUGAACGCUGGCGGCAGGCCUAACACAUGCAAGUCGAGCGGAUGAAGGGAGCUUGCUCCUGGAUUCAGCGGCGGACGGGUGAGUAAUGCCUAGGAAUCUGCCUGGUAGUGGGGGAUAACGUCCGGAAACGGGCGCUAAUACCGCAUACGUCCUGAGGGAGAAAGUGGGGGAUCUUCGGACCUCACGCUAUCAGAUGAGCCUAGGUCGGAUUAGCUAGUUGGUGGGGUAAAGGCCUACCAAGGCGACGAUCCGUAACUGGUCUGAGAGGAUGAUCAGUCACACUGGAACUGAGACACGGUCCAGACUCCUACGGGAGGCAGAAGUGGGGAAUAUUGGACAAUGGGCGAAAGCCUGAUCCAGCCAUGCCGCGUGUGUGAAGAAGGUCUUCGGAUUGUAAAGCACUUUAAGUUGGGAGGAAGGGCAGUAAGUUAAUAACUUGCUGUUUUGACGUUACAAACAGAAUAAGCACCGGCUAACUUCGUG